rnacentral:misc_RNA from 1 species
GUGGUUGGUGAGUCACUUCAUGAUGAACACAUACCAGGACAAACUAGCACCGUGAUUCCUGAAUACAAUUUGUUAUCAAUAGAUAGAAGUGUGCCAGAGAUUAAACCAGAACUCCCAGUCCUUGAACUUAGAUCAGUUACAGAUAUUGACUUGGCAUUCAAGCAACUUCAUGAAGGAGUAGAUGUUGAGGAGGUCAUCCUUCCAAGUAUGAUUGAGGAUCAACCAGUUGUUGAUAAAGGCCCUGGUGAAACCAACUCAGAAUUGCGAGUUGUUGAAGCAAGAUCUUUGGAAGAUCUACAUGUUGCCAUGAAGCAAGCAUCAGAACUGUCUGAUUUAAUGGGAAGGCCAGCGGGAGUAAAUGAAGCAGGUUCUAGCAGUUGUAUUAAGGAGCUUCCAAUUCUUGAACUUAGAAUGAUUAAUGAUAUUGACCUGACAUUCAAGCAACUUAAUGAAGGUGUAGAUGUUGAGGAGGUAAUCCUUCCCAGCA